AAAAUUUGGCUGUGAAUCCAUCUGGUCCUGGACUUUUUUUGGGCUGGAAUGGGAGGAGCAGCCAAGAGAUUUCAUCAGCCACAGUGUGCAUGAUGGAUGAGAACACGGGACACAUACCAGUGAAGGGCAGAAAAUGUUACUUAUCGACACUGGACUAAAAAAAGACUGUGCGUAACCCAUAGAUAAGCCAACUCUUAUUGUGAUAAAACAUCAGACAAAUCCAAAUUGAGAACAUUCUACAAAAUACCUGACCAGCACUCCUGAAAACUACCAAGCCUCUCAAUCCAUGGAUGUUCUUUUACUUGGUCAUCCUCACCCCAUGGUUCAAGGGUAUAUGACUUAUUAAGAGUGAAAAUGAGAAGAGGAGGUGGAGCAAGAUGGUCAAAUAGAACCAUUCACUGAUCAUCCUCCCUGCAGGAACACCAAAUUGAAAAACUAUCUACAUAAUAAAGCACCUUCAUAAGAAGCAAAAAUCAGGCAACAGAAUCAUAUGGAAGUGUGUGCAAGGUAUUUGUCAAAGCCUUGAAGACAGGGGCCCUAACCAGUACAUGGAGGAACUAUACUGCUGGGAAUACUCUGAUAAGAGUUGGACAGAGUCUCUGCCUUCAUUUAGUGUGUACACUUUAUAAAUAAACUUUUUAAAAAGAUGACUACUGAAUGGAGUCCAUUUAUUUAAAAAUGAACCAGACACAGCCCUGGACAGAAACUUCCUGAUGAGAUACAUGAAAAUUCUGAAAUACAAAACAUAAUGAAUUGUAAACAUCUUUCUAUCCACGAAAGAUGGUCAUGAAUAUUUUCAGAGUUCCCCCAUGGAGAAGACUGCAAAAGCUGUUUUGAUACUUGACUUUCCUUGCCUGCUUUAUCACAUUUGAGAAACUACAAAUGGAGUCAAAUAAUCUCAUUUGGAGUCGGCUGAGUAAAUCCAGUAAUCCUCUAAUAAUAGCGACCUCAGGAUUAAUUUAAAAUAUAGACAAAUAACUCACCUAAAAAUAUCACCUCUGACUGAAUAAUAUCAAUCAGGAGUAUUUUACAAUAUAGACAACUCACCUAAAAAUAUCACGUUUGACUGAAUAUACCUUUGAUUUUUCAAUGUAGUAUCCUGAAGAUAUAUUUGGUGUAACAGCUCUUCAACAAAUAUUUAUAGUGUCAGGCAGUGUUCUAGGAGUUGUGACACAGUUGAGAACAAAAUAAACAAGUCUCUGCUUUCAUAAUGUAUACAAACGGUAAUAAGCAUUAAGAAAGAGAAGAAAAAGGAGGCAGGAAAUAGGCAUAGAGUGAGAUUAUAGUGAUAUUUUAUAUAAGGCAGUAAAGGUGGACCUUUUUGAUUUGAGAUACCUAUUUGUGCACAGACAAAUGAGGAAGCAGAAGCUGUGUGGCUAUCUAGGAGAAGAGAGUUUUCAGGCAGAAAGAAUGGGAAGUACAAAGGAUGAGGAACAUUAAGGAGACAGUGGGGCUGGAGUAGAGAGAGUGGUGGCAGAAAUUAGGAUCAGAGAGAUAAGACAUUGGAUUGUACUUUUUAAGGUAAAAAUUUACAUUUAAUAAAAUGCACAUAUCUUAAAGUACACAAGUAAAAUGUAGAAUAUUUCCAUCACCCUACAAAAUUCUCCUGUGACCCCUUCCAAUUAAUCUAAUUGCCCCACAGGUGACCACUGUUCUGUUUUUUUUUUUAAUCACCAUAGAUUCAUUUUAUCUAUUUUGAACUCCAUAUGA
rnacentral:lncRNA from 1 species